GGCAGAAAAGGCCGGCGUGUGGGGCGGGCCUGGGGAAGGGACUCCCGCGGCCCUAAGGUGCUGGCGGGCGUUUGGCGUUGCAGCUGUGUGGGCGCUGGUGCGUGCGAGUAGCGCUCGAAGAAACCCAAAGGCGUCGUGGGGCUGCCGUGUGCCCCAGAGAGCACUGCAGGCCGGGUAGGGGCUAAGGCUCCCCGCAGUCUUCUGUGUGUCGUCCAGUACGCAGUUGAAAUCGUUCUCCAACCUGGCCAGUCCUCCGAGGCCCUUCUCAGGCGACCAGACUCUGUUAACAGAGUCCAUUGCUAAAACUCCUCGUUAGUAUUUACCACUCCUCCAGUCUGUGUUUUGAAGCAGUGGUUUUCAACCACUGCCCGUUUUCAGAAGAAAUCAUCUCAAGCGUCCGUGUGCUGCUAGAAGCCGGGCCGGGAGGUCUUGGUGCCGGACUCCACCCUGCAGCCCUUCCCUUUCGCCACCGCCCUGUGCUUAGAGAAACCUUAGAGUGGAGCAAUGAGUCGCCCUUGACUGAGUAACUCUUCGGGGUCAACUUCUCCUUCCACGCCAAGGAAAGGAUUCCAGGGCGAUGUUUCUGGAAAUAGAGAUCUGACCAAGCCACUGCUCUGGUGAAAAUUCAGUGGGUCCCUAGCACCUAGUGCAGCGGCUCCUAGCCUGAGUAUUGCCGUCUUUCGGUGGGGAGGGGUUGGGUUUUUUUGUAGCAUCUGUUGAUCUGAUCUCCAACAUCCUCCACGUCAAUUCCCACUCCACCCACAUCCCUUAUCCUAUACGUAAGCUUUCCAGCCACGGUGCUGGCUUGGGUGGGGGUGCGUGCGGUGCUGACACCAAAAUGGAGGUCCCGUGUUUCUGAGAGUCUCUUUCAGAGCAAUGCAAACCUGAAACUACUCCUGCCAAGAAACGAUUGCAGCUCUUCCCGGAAAAGUUAAAGCCUUUGAGAAACAAAGCUGAGCUAAUAUUGGGAAGCUCAGCAGGGUCCUGGGGGCCCACAGGAAUGUGAAUAAACACGCUUGGAAAGUCUGCAGAAUUUCCAGUCCUAGCCUCCUGCUGGUGUGAACCUGGGCUCCUGUGCCUGGGACCCUGGGAGGGCCUAGGGGAUGCCAAAUUCCAGGGUCCAGAAAGAGCUUGGGAUAAAAUGAACAUCCAAGGGGAGGGCUUUGACCUGGGCUGAGUCUGCCUGUGCCGAGUCUGCCUGUGCCAUCCAACUGGAGUCUCAAGUCCUGAGGCAGGACGUCCAGAUGCCCCAGUGCAGGGUCCUCCUGAUCAACACCUGCUCCCCUGUACUCAUUAGCAACCUCACCCACCCUACUCUCAAAGCACACUUGGCUCUCAUAUCCAGGAGCUCUGCAUCUGUAGAUUCAGCAACAGCAGAUGGAAAAUAUUCAGAAAAUAAAUUGGACAGUUAUAUUUCUAUUGAA
rnacentral:lncRNA from 1 species